rnacentral:rRNA from 1 species
UACAGAGGGUGCGAGCGUUAAUCGGAAUUACUGGGCGUAAAGCGUGCGUAGACGGUAGCGUAAGUCAGAUGUGAAAGCCCCGGGCUCAACCUGGGAAUUGCAUUUGAGACUGCUCUGCUCGGGUGCGGAAGAGGGAAGCGGAAUUUCCGGUGUAGCGGUGAAAUGCGUAGAUACCGGAAGGAACACCAGUGGCGAAAGCGGCUUCCUGGUCCGACACCGACGUUCAGGCACGAAAGCGUGGGGAGCAAACAGG